ACAUGAGGCGCCAAGGAAUGCUUCUGCUUGGAUCCAGGGAAGCUCCUUAAGAUUUACUUUAAUACAGAAGGGAAGAGAGCUUAUCAGCUUACCUCUGAUCUUGAUUAAUCUCUUUUGAUUUACUUUGAAGGUAUGUGGUAGAGGGAAGUGAGCCGUGCCGCGCGUUAGGCAGGUGAUCGGAGGUUCGAACUCUAUGAAUGCCUGCUUCAUGAUUAUAGUCUCUCAAAUCGAACUUCUUGUCUCCAUAUGUAAAAUAAAAAUGAUGGGGCAAGUGUCAUUGAUACUUUUAUGUGAAUUGGCAUCCAUAUUUUCUUUGCUUCCUACCCAAAUCUCAAAACAACUUCGGACUCCUCUCUGGACAGGGGAAAAAGGAGAAGAUUUUGUCGUCUUCGAGGUAUCUCCUCUCCAUUUGGUGUUUUCCUUCACCAGGUUUUUGUUUGGAGUUUUGGUUGCCCAGAGAGGCGUAACUUAGCUGGUAGCUGGUCGAACUGAUAAGUUUGUAAAAGUUCAGCCAUCAGUUCUAUUUCGGGGAAAAAGGAGAAGAUUUUGUCGUUUUCGAGGUAUCCCCUCUCCAGUUGGUGUUUUCCUUCACGAGGUUUGGUUUCAUUUUUCAGUUGAUUUUCUGUAAUUCGCCGGCUUUCAUAUUAAUUUCGUUCCUCGGAGGCAAAGGCAGAGAAAGAAGGUGAAAGAUACCUCCGUUAUUUUGCAGCAUUUAAUUCAAUUUUGAUUGAAGACGCGGCUUCGAUCGCGUCAGAAUCAUAUGUUAUAACUACUGAAGAACUUUUGUUUCUGUGAAGUUUUGUAUUUUGAGAAGAGAUGUUUCAUCUCUCUGUAUGUCAGUCCAGCCUUAACGCGGUUUACAGGUUCUCUUUUUCCCCUUGCAUUUACAUAAAGAUUGAAAAGUAGAUAGAAAAGAAAAAAGGGUCAACAAGCAUGUACAAAAUGGAAGGUAUUGAACUCAUUGAAUACAUAAUCUGAUUGGAUGUACAUGUUGAACUAAGGAUUUGGUCAUAUGAACGCACCACUAAAUGUUAAAGUGCAAUUCUUUGACAAGUAUUUGGGUCUCAUCUUGCUCUUUUGAGUCCCAAGAGAUGGAGUGCAUAUUUAUCAGUGUCCAACCUGAAAUUGAAAAGGUUAAGGCCUUGAUUCUUUCAUUGGUAUAAUAAAAGUAUUAUCAAGAAACCUAAGGUUUCCUCUUUCACUACUGAGAUUUACAGUUGCAGUAUCAGUUGGAUUCACUGAUUGUCAUAUACAGAGUCAGACUGCAGAUAACAUACGAAAGAGAUGCCAACAAUGAGUUUCUGACUGUUCACAAGUUGCUCUUACAAGAUGAGCGGAGAGGCACCUUUUCAUGGCAGAGGAAAUCUCAAUCAAAAAUUGGAAGAAGAAAGCACAGAUCUUUUCAAGGUUGCUGCUCUUUUCCAACGACAACGAUUAAAACCCACGAUUAUGAUGCAAUUAAUUUAGACCACUGAUUGAUUAAUUUGCUUCUUUAUAUCCAAAGCAGAAUAGGUACAAACUAAAACUGAAGCUACCAACUAAAUCAAACAUAUAGAUCUAAGAGACUCAUAUUAAUAGUUCUUCACACCAAGAGCAAUUGCUUUUAGCAGGUUGCCUCCCAUUGCCCUAAUAGAUAAAUGAGGCAAGGCAACAAAUGGUGAUAUGUAAUCACCAACAAGGAAAAAAGGCAGUUUGGCAUUUACAUAACAGCUGCUAACAGAGUUAGAACUGAUCCAAAUUUAUUGAACAAGCGAAAAUCACAGCAUGCAUAACAGCCAAUCACUGUUGUAGUUGGCUAACAUGGAAGGAGAGCUUAUGGGAUCCAAGAUCAAGGUGGUGGCGGUGGCCCCCUAGGUGGCGGCAGAAAGGGCUGGGGAAGGAGCGACCCCGGCAGAGGAAUAUGAUCAGCAGGAGGAUCCGCCUGGCCUGGUGGUGCAGUCACGGGGUCCGGGUGCAAAGGCGGUGGCGGAGCUCCAAAAGGACCCGGUGGCCCUAGGAAUCCUGGGGGAGGCGGCGGUGGAGGAUCCUGUCCAUGGUGGUGCAUCUUACUCUGAGCUGCAAGGAACUACUUCCCUAGUGCUUGGCACUGUAAUUCCUUCACCACUUAAAUAGAGAAUUGGCCCCCAUGAAAGCUCUACCCUGCUUCCCUCACUGCUCUCCUUGGUUUUACAUGCUUCUUGUCCAUAUUGCCAAAUGACAAAGGCAUGGCCUGACAUAGCCAUGCUGCAUCAUUGCAUGGUCCAAAGACAAGAGGCGGCAACUAUCCUGCAACCAGUCAAAAGAGGACCAGUAGUUGUCUUUGAAAUAGUACUGUUCUGGGGCGUACCCUUGCUCCAUUAUUUUUUAUCAUUUACUAUCAUGUAAAAAUCUUCAUGCCAGGACAAGAAGAUGAUCAUCUUGCAUCGCAGAAACAGAUGAACUCUUAUUGGGAUCAUAUGGGUCAUGUGACAAGGACCAAGUUGGUGAACUCCAUGGAAAGCCAUGAUCUUAGAGAAAGUAACAUGACGACACCUUCUAGGGUUUCCACCUAACUCCAUUCACAGAAUAAGCUAAGUUUUGUGAUUUUGAUUAUCCAGGAGCUUGAGUCUUCAAUGUGAUUACGGUUUGUGGACAAGCCAUGAAUGUUUCUUGAGAUGCAGUGUGCAGGUCAACAUCAUCAUUCAAGCUAAGGAUACAUCCUGUUUAUGAACUAUGAGUCUUAUACUUCUCUCUCUCUCUUUCUCCCUCUCUCUUCUUUUUCUGGGUUUCUACACCCUAAAAAGAACUUCAUUACCAGCUCUAGAUUGUUAGGUUUCUUGCGGUUUCUCUACCCAAAACAGGUACUUUCAGCUUUGUCUUUGCAGCAACAGGCAUAUACCUGUGGAGUUUAAUUUUAUGGUGUCUUGUUAAUUUCGGGGAAUUGACAUGUUGCCCUUGCUGAAGAGGUGAAAUUCUUUCUUAAUG